UACGAAGGGGGCUAGCGUUGCUCGGAAUCACUGGGCGUAAAGCGCACGUAGGCGGAUUGCUAAGUCAGGGGUGAAAUCCUGGAGCUCAACUCCAGAACUGCCCUUGAUACUGGUGGUCUCGAGUCCGGGAGAGGUGAGUGGAACUGCGAGUGUAGAGGUGAAAUUCGUAGAUAUUCGCAAGAACACCAGUGGCGAAGGCGGCUCACUGGCCCGGUACUGACGCUGAGGUGCGAAAAGCGUGGGGGAGCAAACAGG
rnacentral:rRNA from 1 species